GGUUGGUAUUGGUUCUCUGAUAUUUGUCCUAAAAUUUUUUGGAUCUAGCACCACUGUUGAAAAAGUUAUGCCCCUUUUUUCAACAAUUUCCUCAGAGGAAAAGUACUUUUCCUCAAGGGAAAUCAAAUUUCCCUGAAGGAAAAAGAUUUUUCCUCAAGGGAAAUUGUUUUUUCCUCAAGGGAAAAAGAUUUCCCUUAGGGAAUUUGCUGCAUAAUAAUUUCCUUUGAGGAAAUUCUAUUUCCUUAGAGGAAAUUCUUUUUCCUUAGAGGAAAUUCUUUUUCCUUAGAGGAAAUUCU
rnacentral:lncRNA from 1 species